GUGCCCCAAGCGUUAUCCGGAAUUAUUGGGUGUAAAGGGUGUGUAGGCGGUUUUGUUAGUCGGAUGUUAAAUUUCUGGGCUUAACCCAGAACCUGCAAGCGAAACGGCAAAACUAGAAGAUGCAAGAGGUCUGUAGAACUCAUAGUGUAGGGGUGAAAUCCGUUGAUAUUAUGGGGAAUACCAAAAGCGAAGGCAGCAGACUGGUGCAUUCUUGACGUUGAAACACGAAAGCGUGGGUAGCGAACUGG
rnacentral:rRNA from 1 species